CGGAGAGUCAGCCGCGGCUCACAGCUCACUGCCGCCGAGAACCAGGCUCUAACGUCCGCCUCUGGGAGCGAACCAAGCCGGUGGAAGAGGAGUACUACUAUUGUUGUUUUCGCCGACGGGAUGUUUGGAGGAUGUCGUUUGGGAGACGCGCGGAGACUCUUAUUUUGAAGUUGUCCCAGACGCGAAACUUGACGCUUGUUGUUGUUUGACGUCCACCUAUGGCUCGAGGGAUCCCGCACCGAAACCCACCCGCCCGCUCCUCCACCGCCGCCUGAGUGGGUCCACAGCGGAGGUUGUCCAUCCCGGGUACUGAUCACGGGGUGAGUGUUUCCGCGUGAAUAGUUUGAGCUUUUACUUUGAACUUUUUCCGGAGUGAUUUUUCUUCUGUCGACGUGUGGAUCCGCGUCGCGCGCAGCGGAAAUGCUCACCUGAGACUCAGGUGAGACGGAAGCCAGGUAGGCCCACACACACAGGUAGCCUCGGCACCGUGUUGUCAUUUCAACGGGUUAAUGUGCAGCAUGAGGGUUGAUAUCCACAGCAGGGAUCGUUCGAGCCGGCUGUGAGUCCGGUUAGCGGAGUAGGGAUGCUUAACUGUUGCUGUGGACUGGAUCAGACUCCUGGGGUUGGUGAAUGCUGAAGCGCAGGCUAGCUCAGUAUGGUGAUGAGAAUCGAUACAACGGCGCCAAAUAUCGAUGCUCCUCUUGGCAGCGUUGACAUAUGAAUGAGGGGAAACUUGAACGGAAGUUAACUAGCCAACGACGAGUAGAAACUCUGUUUGGACCAGGAAAAAGAACGAAACACGGUACUUUACCUUUUCACGGUCAUUUUGUGUUCAUAGUUAGACAUCGUGAUUUAUCGUUAGAAAAUUGCCUAACAAUAUAUUGACUCUGGCAGAAUCACUGCAUCUCGAUAUUAGCUGUAUCGUGGGCCGUUUAUCGCCUGUUAUAUCGUGAUGUACCCCGUGAUUCCCACCCCAAAUUCAAACUCUUCUUUCCCUCUCCGUUGCAG
ensembl:lncRNA